AUGGCGGGAUCCUCCGCCGUGUACACCUCCUGCAGGCCGCACGCGCGCGCCUUCCACCACCACCCGGCCGACCAGGCCCAGCGGGGCGGCGGGCUGCCCGGCCUGCUCCCCGCCGCGGCGUGGAGGAGGGGCGGCGCGGCCGUGCCGAGGGCCAGCCUGGUGGCGGCGCGGACGGCGACGGAGGAGGCGGUGUACGAGGUGGUGCUGCGGCAGGCCGCGCUGGUGGAGGACCUGCAGGGGCGGCGGGAGGCCGACGCCGGCCGGCGCCGCCGCUGGCGGGACGAGCAGGUGGAGCAGGAGGGCGACGCCGAGCUCGGCUGGGGCCUCCUCGACGACGCCUACGACCGCUGCGGCGAGGUCUGCGCCGAGUACGCCAAGACCUUCUACCUCGGCACACAGCUUAUGACUCCUGAAAGGCGCAAAGCCGUUUGGGCAAUCUAUGUAUGGUGCAGGAGAACUGAUGAGCUAGUGGAUGGCCCUAACUCAUCUUACAUCACGCCCAAGGCGCUCGAUCGGUGGGAGAAGAGAUUAGAGGAUCUCUUCGAAGGCCGCCCAUAUGAUAUGUAUGAUGCAGCCCUCUCAGAUACAGCGUCAAAGUUUCCAAUUGAUAUCCAGCCAUUCAGAGACAUGAUUGAAGGGAUGAGGCUCGACCUUUGGAAAUCGAGGUAUAGGACCUUUGACGAGCUCUACCUCUACUGCUACUACGUCGCUGGCACUGUCGGUCUCAUGACGGUACCGGUGAUGGGGAUUGCUCCGGACUCAAAGGCCUCAGCAGAGAGCGUGUACAAUGCCGCACUGGCCCUUGGCAUUGCCAACCAGCUCACAAACAUCCUCCGAGACGUAGGAGAAGACUCAAGAAGGGGGAGAAUAUACCUUCCACUGGACGAACUGGCACAGGCGGGUCUGACAGAAGAGGACAUAUUCAGAGGGAAAGUGACGGAUAAAUGGAGGAGGUUCAUGAAGGGGCAAAUCCAGCGCGCCAGGCUCUUCUUUGACGAGGCCGAGAAGGGCGUCAUGCAUCUAGACUCCGCGAGCAGAUGGCCGGUCCUGGCAUCGCUGUGGCUGUACAGGCAGAUCCUGGACGCCAUCGAGGCCAACGACUACAACAACUUCACCAAGCGCGCGUACGUGGGCAAGGCAAAGAAGUUCCUGUCUCUACCGGCCGCGUACGCGAGGGCGGCUCUCUCGCCAUGA
rnacentral:rRNA from 1 species